AGUGAACGCUGGCGGUAGGCCUAACACAUGCAAGUCGAACGGCAGCACAGUAAGAGCUUGCUCUUACGGGUGGCGAGUGGCGGACGGGUGAGGAAUACAUCGGAAUCUACUUUUUCGUGGGGGAUAACGUAGGGAAACUUACGCUAAUACCGCAUACGACCUACGGGUGAAAGCAGGGGAUCUUCGGACCUUGCGCGGUUGGAUGAGCCGAUGUCGGAUUAGCUAGUUGGCGGGGUAAAGACCCACCAAGGCGACGAUCCGUAGCUGGUCUGAGAGGCGGGUAAGCGACACUGGAACUGAGACACGGUCCAGACUCCUACGGGAGGGAGCAGUGGGGAAUAUUGGACAAUGGGCGCAAGCCUGAUCCAGCCAUACCGCGUGGGUGAAGAAGGCCUUCGGGUUGGAAAGCCCGUUUGUUGGGAAAGAAAAGCAGCAGGUUAAUACCCCGCGGUUCUGACGGUACCCAAAGAAUAAGCACCGGCUAACUUCGUG
rnacentral:rRNA from 1 species